CGAUUUUCUGUAAACUGGAGAUUAGACAAAGGAACAUUAAUGGGUUCAACUAAUGUUUUUAAACACUGGCCACUGAGAACAUCCCAAAUUCGUGCCAUUCCAUCAUAACUAGCAGUCGCACAUAAAGUUCCGUCAGCUGAUAUAGAAACAGAUAUAAUAGGUUCUGAAUGUGCAGGUAGCAUCCUAAGGCAAGUUCCAUCUUGAAGAUUCCAUAUACGGACAGUCUCAUCCCAUGAUCCUGACACCAAAAGCGUGCCCAAUGGAUUAAAGUCAAUUGAUGAAACGUAAUUUGUAUGACCUUUUAAACAUCUCACACUGCACCGUUUUUCAAAAUCCCAAAUCCUUAUGGUCUUAUCGUCAGAAGCGCUAGCUAGAUACUUACUACCAGUUGCCCAUUUUACUUGAGAUAUUCCUCGGUAGUGGCCGAAAAGUGUACAUUCAAGUCGAAACGUAAGUGCGCUCCAAAUCUUUAUAGUUCCAUCGGAUGAAGAGGUAGCGAUCCAUCGUUUGUUAGGGGAAACGCUGACACAUGUAACACUUUUCUCAUGACCGAAAAGAGUACAAUAUUCAGAGAAUCCUGAAUGUGAUUCAUAAUUGCGAAUGCGCUUAUGUAUUUGCUCCUCAUCUUCCUCUACAACACCUUUCUGGUCUUUUUGUACUUGCAGGUCGUGGUUCAAAGGAAAUUGUUGAGCUGUGGAAUCCAUCUUCUAAUAUACGAUAUGUGAAAAAUUAUCAGACCGAUUGUUUGUACUUCUCGUAAAAAUGGACUAAAGACAAAAAUCGUAUCAGGAAGUAUUAAAAGGUUUAUUGAAUGAUCUCAACAAUCAUAAACAAACGCCUUUGUCUGAUAGUAAAAUCGAUCAAUUUAUUUCCUCUU